rnacentral:rRNA from 1 species
UACCAGCACCCCGAGUGGUCGGGACGUUUAUUGGGCCUAAAGCAUCCGUAGCCGGUUCUACAAGUCUUCCGUUAAAUCCACCUGCUUAACAGAUGGGCCGCGGAGGAUACUACAGAGCUAGGAGGCAGGAGAGGCAAGCGGUACUCAGUGGGUAGGGGUAAAAUCCGUUGAUCCAUUGAAGACCACCAGUGGCGAAGGCGGCUUGCCAGAAUGCGCUCGACGGUGAGGGAUGAAAGCUGGGGGAGCAAACCGG